rnacentral:misc_RNA from 1 species
GUAGUAGUAGUAGUAGUAGUAGUUCUGAAUGAAACUUGUUGGGUGCUUAGGGCUGGCAUUUAUAAGGUCCUGGUAAGUGGUCAUUGCUUGGUGUUCAAUUUUUGGUGGUGAAAAGUUGAUAGAUGGGAACAAAAUGAUUUUGCCUUUUCCGGCAUAAUUUUUUAUGUCUUCCCAAAUUGCCCUUACCAAGGUUUCCACAGUGAUAACCUCCUUGGUAAUUGGAACAAGUUCAUCCCGCUCCCAGUCCUGCGAUGCAGUAAAUAAGCCUGCAGCUUGCAAA